GCCAAUAUAGCUCAGCCGGUUAGAGCACGAGAUUCAUAUCCUCGAGGUCGGUGGUUCGAGUCCACCUAUUGGCACCA
rnacentral:tRNA from 1 species